rnacentral:rRNA from 1 species
GGUAGGGAAUCUUACCACAAUGGGCGCGAGCCUGAUGGAGCAACACCGCGUGAGUGAAGAAGGGUUUCGGCUCGUAAAGCUCUGUUGUUAAAGAAGAACACGUAUGAGAGUAACUGUUCAUACGUUGACGGUAUUUAACCAGAAAGUCACGGCUAACUACGUGCCAGCAGCCGCGGUAAUACGUAGGUGGCAAGCGUUAUCCGGAUUUAUUGGGCGUAAAGAGAGUGCAGGCGGUUUUCUAAGUCUGAUGUGAAAGCCUUCGGCUUAACCGGAGAAGUGCAUCGGAAACUGGAUAACUUGAGUGCAGAAGAGGGUAGUGGAACUCCAUGUGUAGCGGUGGAAUGCGUAGAUAUAUGGAAGAACACCAGUGGCGAAGGCGGCUACCUGGUCUGCAACUGACGCUGAGACUCGAAAGCAUGGGUAGCGAACAGGAUUAGAUACCCUGGUAG